GAGAAAGAGAGGGAGAGGUUGAAAGAGAGGGAGAGAGAAAGGGAUAAGAGAAAAUUUUAGAGAUUGGACGCUAGUUUUUACAAGACAACAACAACGUCAUGGUAAUGGCAAUCACUGCUGAUGUCAUAAUAAACAAAAGCAAUGACGUCACAAUUAAUACAUCGUCGACACAACCAACGACGUUCAGAUAAAGUUUGUAAAGACAUUUGAAACAACAGUAACAAAAACAACGAGACCAGGACUAAGAAAAUGAACUUCACAUUUGUCCAAACAAGCAAUCGACGGAUAUACCGAUGGCUUAAAGGCAAAGAGGGAGAUGUUAAAAAAAUUGAAGUGCAACCCACAUUCGCUUUGGGUUGUUGGUGCAUCCAGCUGAGAAGAACAGACAUUACCAAUACUUGAAGAGUCACAGAUAGUCACAUAGGAACCACUGCAGUUAAACUAGAGGGUAUUUGUGAACACCCGGAGUCACGACCCCGAAAAGGGAUUAAUUUCAUCCACCAACGUCCUACCACAGACGGGAAAUGCUGGCGAGUUCAGGCAAAAACUCCCCGCACAAACAAAUAGUAGCCGGUUCUCCACCCGAACGUAGCAACAGUUUUAGCGGAAAGGCAUCAUCGCCAUGCGCAAUUUCUCGAACCGGAUCCGGAAAUAGCGCCAGUGGGUAUAGCAGCCUCGCUUCGUCACCAAACACCCGCGGAAAUGG
rnacentral:lncRNA from 1 species